GUCUACGGCCAUACCACCCAGAACGUACCUGAUCUCGUCUGAUCUCCGAAACUAAGCAGGGCUGGGUCGGGUUAGUUGGAUGGGAGAGUAUCGACUGGUUCUGCUGAGA
ensembl:rRNA 5S_rRNA 5S ribosomal RNA